CCACCAAGCCUCCCUUAUCCCUGCUAGAUCAUAAUGCGCACUGGAGUGUAGGAGGGCUAGCUCCUCCUGCUUGUUCCCCAUGCUCCUGGCAUUAGUAUAUAGAUACC